rnacentral:lncRNA from 1 species
UCCUGUGUGCUGUGCUACCAUGAAGCGAUAAGAGCCUGCAGAAAACAGAAUCAAAAGGCCAGCAAACAGAGGACACAAUAUGAGAUUCUCACCUCCACUGGUGACUUAUGGGGGAAUCAGCUCCUAUGGCCUUCUGGGAUACUAUAGACGGAUCAUGCCUCCAGCCACUGCGCCCGGCAACUGUCUCCAGUGGCAACAAUUCCUUAGUGACAAAUACUUCUGUAUAGGAGCCUCACUUCGGACAAACGUACAGCUGCACACAGGCAGGACAGCAAAAGGUGUUAUGUCUGUGAUUGUGGGAAUAAAUCUCAUGUCUGAAGAAAGAUUUCCCUGAGCAGGAAACAGUAAAGUUUUCUUUCUUCUGCCUCGAGAUUUAUUGUUGUGUGAACACGCGCAGCUAAGAUCGUCCCACGGUUCUUCUGGAAUCAUUAUACUCUCUCAUUUACCUCAUUGAUUUAUAGAUGUAACAGACAUAAGACUCACCAUCCUAAGCUAACUAUUGCUUUUUAUGCAAUAGUGCUAUUUCAAUCAUCCACCCAUUUUCUUUUCGGCUAAGUCCCUUUAAGAAUCUGGGGUCACCACAGCGAAAUGAACCGCCAAUUUAUGCAAUGCAGUGGAUGCAGCCAUCACUGUAAAACAAUGCUAUUUCACAUGAAGCAAAAUAAACAUUUUUAUUUUUGUUUACAUUUU